rnacentral:rRNA from 1 species
GUGCCAGCAGCUGCGGUAAUACGAAGGGGCUAGCGUUGCUCGGAAUGACUGGGCGUAAAGGGCGUGUAGGCGGUUUGUACAGUCAGAUGUGAAAUCCCCGGGCUCAACCUGGGAGCUGCAUUUGAUACGUGCAGACUAGAGUGUGAGAGAGGGUUGUGGAAUUCCCAGUGUAGAGGUGAAAUUCGUAGAUAUUGGGAAGAACACCGGUGGCGAAGGCGGCAACCUGGCUCAUUACUGACGCUGAGGCGCGAAAGCGUGGGAGCAAACAGGAUUAGAUACCCUGGUAGUCCACGCUGUAAACGAUGUGUGCUAGAU